GCCGCCAUAGCUCAGGGGUAGAGCACACCCUUGGUAAGGGUGGGGUCGCAAGUUCAAUUCUUGCUGGCGGCACCA
rnacentral:tRNA from 1 species